rnacentral:rRNA from 1 species
AGCGAACGCUGGCGGCAGGCCUAACACAUGCAAGUCGAACGAACCUUUCGGGGUUAGUGGCGGACGGGUGUGUAACACGUGGGAACGUGCCCUUAGGUUCGGAAUAACUCAGGGAAACUUGUGCUAAUACCGAAUGUGCCCUUCGGGGGAAAGAUUAAUCGCCUUUGGUGCGGCCCGCGUCUGAUUAGCUAGUUGGUUGAGGUAAUGGCUCACCAAGGCGACGUUCAGUAGCUGGUCUGAGAGGAUGAUCCGCCACAUUGGGACUGAGACACGGCCCAAACUCCGACGGAAGGCAGCAGUGGGGAAGCUUGCGCAAUGGGCGAAAGCCUGACGCAGCCAUGCCGCGUGAAUGAUGAAGGUGUUAGGAUUGUAAAAUUCUUUCACCGGGGACGAUAAUGACGGUACCCGGAGAAGAAGCCCCGGCUAACUUCGU